rnacentral:rRNA from 1 species
GAUGAACGCUAGCUACAGGCUUAACACACGCAAGUCGAGGGGAAACGAUAGAGAAAGCUUGCUUUUUCUAGGCGUCGACCGGCGCACGGGUGAGUAACGCGUAUCCAACCUGCCCAUCACUUGGGGAUAACCUUGCGAAAGUAAGACUAAUACCCAAUGAUAUCUCUAGAAGACAUCUGAAGGAGAUUAAAGAUUUAUCGGUGAUGGAUGGGGAUGCGUCUGAUUAGCUUGUUGGCGGGGUAACGGCCCACCAAGGCGACGAUCAGUAGGGGUUCUGAGAGGAAGGUCCCCCACAUUGGAACUGAGACACGGUCCAAACUCCUACGGGAGGCAGCAGUGAGGAAUAUUGGUCAAUGGGCGAGAGCCUGAACCAGCCAAGUAGCGUGCAGGAUGACGGCCCUAUGGGUUGUAAACUGCUUGUAUAAGGGAAUAAAGUGAGUCUCGUGAGGCUUUUUGCAUGUACCUUAUGAAUAAGGACCGGCUAAUUCCGUGCCAGCCGCCGCAGUAA